AUUGAACGCUGGCGGCAUGCCUUACACAUGCAAGUCGAACGGUAACGCGGGGCAACCUGGCGACGAGUGGCGAACGGGUGAGUAAUGCAUCGGAACGUGCCCAGUAGUGGGGGAUAGCCCGGCGAAGGCCGGAUUAAUACCGCAUACGACCUAAGGGUGAAAGCGGGGGAUCGCAAGACCUCGCGCUAUUGGAGCGGCCGGUGUCGGAUUAGCUAGUUGGUGGGGUAAAGGCUCACCAAGGCAACGAUCCGUAGCUGGUCUGAGAGGACGACCAGCCACACUGGGACUGAGACGCGGCCCAGACUCCUACGGGAGGCAGCAGUGGGGAAUUUUGGACAAUGGGCGCAAGCCUGAUCCAGCCAUGCCGCGUGCGGGAAGAAGGCCUUCGGGUUGUAUACCGCUUUUGUCAGGGAAGAAACGGUCUGCGUUAAUACCGCGGACUAAUGACGGUACCUGAAGAAUAAGGACCGGCUAACUACGUGCCAGCCGCCGCGGUAA
rnacentral:rRNA from 1 species